rnacentral:rRNA from 1 species
AUUGAACGCUGGCGGCAGGCCUAACACAUGCAAGUCGAGCGGAUGAAGGGAGCUUGCUCCUGGAUUCAGCGGCGGACGGGUGAGUAAUGCCUAGGAAUCUGCCUGGUAGUGGGGGAUAACGUCCGAAAACGGGCGCUAAUACCGCAUACGUCCUGAGGGAGAAAGUGGGGGAUCUUCGGACCUCCCGCUAUCAGAUGAGCCUAGGUCGGAUUAGCUAGUUGGUGGGGUAAAGGCCUACCAAGGCGACGAUCCGUAACUGGUCUGAGAGGAUGAUCAGUCACACUGGAACUGAGACACGGUCCAGACUCCUACGGGAGGCAGCAGUGGGGAAUAUUGGACAAAGGGCGAAAGCCUGAUCCAGCCAUGCCGCGUGUGUGAAGAAGGUCUUCGGAUUGUAAAGCACUUUAAGUUGGGAGGAAGGGCAGUAAGUUAAUACCUUGCUGUUUUGACGGUACCAACAGAAUAAGCACCGGCUAACUUCGUG